UUUCCGAUUGUUUCGUGGGACCAAAAGUUUCUCCGCUACACAAUUUCAGUUUCUUUCCACAUUUCAUCGAUGGAAUUCACUCAUCGCGUUUCAAGUUCAUCUUUACUUUUUUCAUGGUUCCAUGUUGACUGUACCGUAUUUUAGCGACUGCUUUCUCAACCAUCCUCUGUUUGCUUUGACUGAAAAUGGUUGGGAAAAUUGCCCUCCCACUUCACCAUGAAAGCUUUGCUCACCAUUAAUAUGCUCAUCUUCUCUGUUUUCAUCAAUUAAUCAACAAGUUAUUACUACAGCCUUCCCUUUUCAGAAAGCCCGUCUUUAUUAUCCCGGAUGGAUCCAACCUGGUCUUUCAAUCAAUGCAGCAUCUUUUUUUUUCCUGCUUUUUCUUGUGGGGCUGUGAAAAUUCUGUUCGAACAUAUUCAUUCAGCUAUUAGGGAUAACACCCACAUGGAUAUUGGAAUUCUCUCUUGGGCUGCUGUAAACUGUUAAGCACUAUUAAGAAAUGGAGAGUCACGAGAGUAGUAGUGUAGCACAGGGUAUGGUGAUGCAAAACUAUAAUGUGUUGGUGACUUGAAGAUGUAAUCAGUUAAAACUCAGGUUCCCAUGAGAUUGACAAAAGGUAUCUAAUUUGAAAGCUAUGUUUUUAUUUCUUUCGCAACAUUCUGUUGAGAGGUCAUUUUGGGUUUAACAUUCUGUUGAGAGGUCAUUUUGGGUUUGUCAUAUAUAGCAGUUGAGAACAAUGGGGGUGAUUAAGGACGUUACGUAUCUUCCAUUCAUCAGGUUCGUGAGAAGAUGAGAGUGGCUUCAAUGAUUGAGUAACAAUGGUCGAAAUUUGAGAACUUAUGUUGGUCAAUAUUUUGGUAUGACUUGAUUUUUAAUCUGGGAUGUGUACUUUAAAUUUUGAUAAUUAUAUGCAAGUUGCGGGAACAGAUCAUGGCUUUAGAGGUAGUCAGUGUUUUAAAAAUCCCACUGAGGCGCCUGGCUAGUCAGGGCUUCGGCAUCUCGCUUCAAAGAAGUGAGGCUCUCUUAAUGAAGCAUGCGUGAGGUGCACGCCUUAGUGCCUCAAGUUUGAUUUACUACUUUAUUUUUUAAUAUUUUCUUAAACUUUUUAUCAUCUUAUUGUUCAUCAUACUAUAUUUUUUACCUUUUUUUAUUGUGUGCUGCAUAAUAUUUUCCUGCACUUAAGUUCCUGAGGUUUAUUGCUCUUUAGUGCGCCUCAAACUAUAAUACGAGAGGUUUUCAAUACUAGGAAUUUUUUUGACCCCAUUUGAUAGCUAUUUGGUCUUUGAAAAUUAAGCUUAUAAACAAUUACUUCCACUCUUAAAUUUCUAUGUUUUAUUUUCCACUUCCUACUAAUGUUUUCAAAAACCAAGUCAAGUUGAAAACUAAAAAAGUUUCAAAAUUUUGUUUUUAUGUUUUAAAUUGGACUACAAAUUCAAUUUUUUUAAUGAAUAUAUAUAUAAGGGUGAAAAUCAUAAUUGGACAAUUUGGGAGAAAACAAGCAUAAAUUUAAAAAAUAAAAAACUAAAAACAAAAUUGUUAUCAAAUGCGACCUUUGUUGAUGGGUUUUUUUAAGAUCAUAUGUACGAUGGGGAAAGUGCUUUUGGAUGGCUUAUGGGUUUACGACCUUACUUAAAUAGGAUCUAUUCUAUAUGUUGUACAAUUGUGUCCUUAAGUUCUAAGGAUGGCUCGUGGGCUUCAAAUAUGAUUUGUUUUCUAGGUUACUAAGUAUUGAAAGAGACACACAAUUUUGUCCUUUAAAUCAAGCCAAGUAAUUUCUAAUUUUCCCCCUUCUGAAGGAUUUAUGAGUUGUUUCAUCCCCUUGUUUUAAUGCACUCAUGCUAUUUUGUUUCUUUAAUUGAAACUAAAUAACUUCCCACUUUUUUGAAACAUUGCUUCCUCUCUAUCUUAUUAUCUCUCCUCGUUUUAAAUAACUGAUGCUUCUUGAAAAACCCAAAAAAAAAAAAAAACAAAAACAAAAACAAAAGGAAAUGAUAAGUGGCAGAUAUAGAUUGAUUGAUUUGAUCCCGUCACUAAAUUUGACAGCUCAUUCUUGUUUUCUGUUUCAUUUGAAGCCACUUUGAACUCUGGUCUUUUUUUGGUCACCUUUAAGGACUCCGAAAAAUGUAGAGAAGAGUUACUGAUUUUAGCUCUAUUUUUUAUUUAUCCUUCUAAAUUUACAGGGAUAUGGCACACAAAGAACUUAAAAGACAAACCAGUUCAUAGAAUCCUAGAAAGAAAAAAGUAAAUGGCACAUGAACUAUGAAAUGGCACAUGUGCAAGUUCAGGUACUUAGGGUGCACGUGUAAUUUGGCUUGGCCACUCAUUGCAAGGAAAUAACAGUGAAGUGUGUGUUAUUAUAUUAUUGUCUUUGGUAAACUUGCAUAGUAACGUAAUAUUGCAGUUUAUGUUCUACUUACUACUUGGAAACUAGAAGUUAAUGUGGUUGUCAAAAUUUAUUAGUUUCAAAUUAAAUCUCAUCCUUGCCUGAGUAUUUAUAUAAUCCAUAUUUUUUUUAUUUUCGUUUUAAAGUUAUUGAUAUUUUGGUGGGGAUAAAGAGCCAAGUCAGUCAAUUGGUCGUAUUUGAUUAUAUUUUUUAAAUUUAUUUCCUUUUGACUUUGAGAGCCCAACCAUCCUUUUCAGAACACCUGCCUAAUGGGACUUUUUUUUCAGACGAAAAUUUUCAAGGCCUGAAGGACCUUCAUCUGGCAUUACUGGUCAAGCUGGUGACGUGCAAAUUGGUUUGUUGGAUUAAAUGUGAAGUUCGGAUGAAUUCUCAGUGCCAUUAACAUGUGGGUUGAGAUAUGUGCGUCUUUAUUUCUUAGUUUAUUGUUUUUAUUCACAAAUCUGACCUGCCAGCUGCCAGCCUUUUCAAUUUGCAACUUUUCCAUCAUCUUCUUGAGGAACAUAGCGAGUCAAAGUGAUGGUGAAUGGAGGUUCAAUUUUGGCAUAUAGACUCCCCUUACUUCCGUUGUUCCAUAUUCUCCUUAUCCGGACCUGAAAUUCAUGUUUUAAGUCAUAGUUCUAGUCUCAUGUAAACAAUACACCAAUUCUUUUGUUUUAGUUUUCGAUAUCUUGAUUGGCAUGUAUAAAACUAUAGUCCCAGUUUGUUGCAUAUAUUACAGGAUUGGAAUUCUUCUUGUA